rnacentral:lncRNA from 1 species
UUUAAAAGUAAUGAAAAGCACUAUUACAUGAAUACACAAACCCAGGGUAAAAAUGUAUACAAGAAACAAUCCUUUCAACCCACACCUGCAGGUUGGGAAUGAGUCAGUGAGCAAUUUCCUGGCCUCUGUGCAGGCCCGGGCCUGAUUUUAUGGGUUUUGGGGCCCACUGAUUGGCCCUGCUGGGAAGGAGGUAGGGGAAAGGAAGCCUGGUGACAGGCAAGCUAGAUGGAGGAGGGAGAGAGAAGAGAAGGAGGAGGAAUGGGAGUGGGACACGGCUGCCUUUCAGCCCUUGCCAGAUGGGGAUGGCUGCCUUCUGCCCACUGCCCUCACAUGAGUCCCCAGUCCACUGUAGUCCCCCCACCCUGCCACCCCUGUCCCACUGCUCCUGGGUGAUCACUGCUUACCACCCAGAUGGUUCCAGUUGGCAAUACUGGGAGGCAGGAGCCAUGUCAAAGAGAUUGGGGCCACUAUUGCACAGGCCAGGCUGAGCUAGCACACUGCAUCCUGACAGUAGUUCCAGGAUCUGCAGCAGGGCCAAGUGCCAGUGACCCUGAGCAGCAAGCAGGGGAUAGUGGGAGCUGCAGUGUGCCCAUAGCCAUCAGGGGCAGUCCCACUCCACUGGGACAAGCCACACUGUACCCUCUGCUGCCAUCUGGAACCAUUUGGAUGGCUAUUUCUGUAAGGGUCAUCAUAAUGCAGAAACCCAAAUCCUACUCCAGAACUAUCUGUCCUCAGUUGCAAUCCAGCCAGCAAGUCAUACCCUCCUCUGCUGCAAACUGUCAAGGACGCUGGUCACAAAAGUGGAGCUGAGCCGCUGAGCCUACAAAGGUAGAAUUUUUUACAUGCUGAUAUCUUUAAAAUUUUACUGUAGCUCAUAGAAAAAACUAUGCAAGUUUAGGAGAGUUUGCCAGGGUAGUUGAAAUGUGUAAGUAGUACCCAAUGCACAUCCUGUAUUGAGUGCUCUUUCUUAGACAAUGGUUAGGCAAGGCAUCAAAGUAAAGCUACUGAUAUGAAAAGACCAGAUUUUUAAUUACUCACCAGAUUUUUUCAACAAACCAGCUGACUGUACUCUGUAGCUGUGCAGUAAACAAAUGCUGGUGUUGUAGCUGCAGAAACUGUAAAGACUGGUAAUGAGUGGUACAGCUCCAAAGAAAUUAAUUCUGGUACAGUACAAGUCCAUUGAAGUUCUAAGCCA